UUCUUCUAUCUCAACCUCUCUGAAAAACGGUGUGCCACUUUGUCUUCCUAGGUCUUCUAGAUUUUCCCCGCCGCUUCUUCUCUUUCUUCCUCACGUAUUUGGUUGCGGCUGGGUCAGGAAUUAGAGGGUGACGUUGGAGAGGAGAUGUGCUAAGGUUGGAGAGGAUAUGGGGCGCAUGCGGCAUGGGCUCUAGGGCUGCGAUAAGUGAGGAAUCGGAGAUCGAGCGGAGGACGCCGGCAGCGGCCGUGGCAUGGAUCGGGUCUUCCUCCGAUAUCCCGGCCGUCGUUGAAGCGCUCGGGUUGAUUUGGCCGCGCGACCUCGGGAGGGGCUUGGGGUGGAGGCGGCGUGGUUGACGUGGUUGGCAUGGAGGCGGGAUGGCCAGGAGGGAGAGGCAAGGACUUAUACUCGCAUCAACCAUGGGUCCGCCAUUCCGGUGGCGACCAUCGGCGUCUGUGACAAAAAGAGCGGGAUGAAGAGCGCGGCAAAACCUCCACCAUGGCCACGACCAUCUAAGCCAGCGGCAACGACAACCCAGAAGUGGGUGCACAUGAGAAGCUCGACCUCAGUACCCAGCUGCCGGAAUAGCUGACGGAGGUACGGCACCAGUUGCAGCAGGCACUUGACUGGUGAGGCUCCAGCUUACCAGCAACGGCACUAUCAAACUCGAAGGCCUUCUCAAGUCACUCUGGCUACUCGGUUAGCCCUAUUUUGUAGAGAGAGAUAUCGGUUAGAAAAGAUCCCCAAUUUGUACAUCCGUUCUAAUCUUUCCUGGCAUAAAUUUCAUUAGCUCCAUGAGUUAGCACGCAAGCUAUCCACGUGAGAUUUGUUUCCGCUGAUACCCAAUUUUGCAUGGGAAAGCCAACUCCUAGAUUUUGGUCUGGUAGCAAGCAGCUUAUGUCUUGCAUCAGGUUGGGCAUUGGACCUCUGGUAAGAUGGCCUACCAAUUAACUCCAUCUAUUUUCUUCUACCAUGUAGCUAGGAAAAAGUUUCUUUGUUAUACAAUCAGAUUACAUGUUGUGCAGAUAAAAGUAUGACGGACUUACUAGGAGAUGUUCAGUAUAUAUGGACUCCAGUUAUGGUUAUGUUAUUUAUUUAUGCACACCUUACGUUUCAUAAAUUGAUUGAAGAAGUUGUAUGGAGGGUGGCCGCGUGGUAUUCUUCGCGGACAGACUAAGCAAAGUUGUUCAUUGAGCCGAAGGCAUUGUCUCUGUAACAAAGCUUGCAUCACAUAGUGAUACAUGAGAGAAUGUACAUCGUCAACCUGUAAGGGAGAUGGUUAAGGAAAUAGUACUAACUGUAACUGAAGUUGGAAGAGUCGACUACAAUGUUUUUCUUGACGUGAAGACAAUUGAGGGGAUGUAUGAAAUUAGUCCGAGUCUGAUGGAGACUUUAUAUGUCACCAAACUCCACUGAAUCGCACGAGAGCUCAGCUGCACCCGCCGCUGUGAGAAAUUUGCUGGAAGAGGUCUCCAAGAUAUUGACAAUGAAUAAAUGAUAUGAGAGGAUGCUUCCAUGGCAAAUACUGGUCUCUUACCCCUCAUCCAACAUCUUCAAAGCCGGUAUGUUUGUCCAUUGCUCAUUGCAAGAACGCCCCAUAGUUUGCCAUCAUGUGGUGUUAGUUUUGUUUUGUUUACGAUAGAUCUCUGAAUUUUACGAUGCCACCUGAAAAAUGGUUGAACAGUUUCAUGAAUUCAAUCUUUGUCAACACAUAUAUGCACCAAAUACAUUCACGCCACCCACAUGAUUUUUUGGCUAAAAGUUUAGAAACCCAUUAUUCAGAUCUAAAAGAAUGCCAUGAGCGUAAUUUUUGGGUAGUGUAUAAGUAUCGCUGUGGGUGAAACUACUUUCCCUGUUACCAGGUUCAACCAGUGAGCCGAAGUGUGGUUCUUUUGAGUUUCAGGGGUCCCAAGCCAGCUUGUGCUUCUGAUGAUCCAUACUUCCGGGGAGACGUCGGUAUGCCUUGCAGUUCGCAAUGCUGGGACUGCUAUGCCAACUCCUGGCGUGCAUCCUUAUAUUUCAGAUAUCUUUCUUUGUAAGAUUUGUUGGUAAUUCUUUGUCUCAACAUUGAGUUUGAUCUAUGCAAAACAAAUAGGUAGCAAAAAGGUAGUGUCUACUAUAUCCGCAUACCAGAAGUUCCGUGUGGUUUAUUUGCAUUUCACAUCUUCUGAAGUUCAUAAAAAUAUUCAUGGUUAGUAGUGGCUUGCUGAAUUGUUUAUCCUAAAGUUAUGCUCAUCGGCUCAUAGUAAGUUGUUCAGUUGUUCGUAUUCAGGUAACUUGCUUAUAUUUUGUUUUUGCUAGCUUGACCAUAACGCCAUUCGGGAUUUAUUUUGCACCGCUGCCGUUUCCAUUGUGACAGUUGGAGAUUAGGUGGUGACAGUGUCUGCAUCUAAAGAUAUGCUGGGCCUACUUCGUGAUCAAAGAGAAGAAAGAUAAAAAGGUAGCACAACACGCACACACCCCAAAAGGACAAGCAUGACGUAUGCUCCGCAAAUCUGCAGCAUUGGGCGUGUCUUUACUGCACAUAUGCGACUGAAACCCUUUCUCAGUUUCAGAGCUUGGCAGCUGACACAGUGAUAUAAUCUAUUUGAGAUAAACUUGCUAAUUUCUGCCAAAUCAACUGUAGAGUACUACUAAUUUUGGCAAUCACAGGCAUCAUCACUAUCAAUUUUCAGAUUUACCCUUGCACAGUACCUACUUCAACACAAAACAAAGUACUCAGCUAGCCUUGCUAUUACAGUUAAGAGUUAGAUGGCAUCAGGCAUGUCUGAAUGGCCAACAAUCCUAUAAUAUGCAUAUAUGUAUUGAUGUUAUGGAGUGUAAAAAUUCCACUGUAUAAAAAUCUCUUCCUAUUUAUAUUCUGCAGCAUCAUCUAUUUAUGUCACUGAUGAUAGCCCAUUUUCUGCUACUAUUUGUUCAUAUGACUAUAAAAUUAUAAUUCAAACUCUGCACUCAACAAGCUGUUAAAAGCUGCUUGCAUAGGUGAUACAAUAUAUAUAUAUGAAAAUCGCUAACUAAUUAGGCCAGAGGACUAUCACUACAUGCAAAGCCUGAUUGAAAUACAGAUCAACGGCAUGCAAAUAUGAUUGCCUAUCAUAAAACUGGCGCAUAUUUUUUUUUUAUGUAAUUAUUCAGCUCAAGGGUCUUCUCUACAAAUAUAGUGUCACGGGCGCGGCGUGUCGCCGCGCCUACGCCUCCUAGUUUUAUAUUUAGAGAUGAUACUUAUGUUAUUUCACCUAUUUUGCAUGUUUCAUGAUUAUUGGAGAAUUACUCACCGGAGUCAGGAUUCUGCUGGAAAAAGCACCGUCAGAAUACGAUAUCUCUGAAGAUCAACAAUUGACGGAGAAUACACCGAAAGUCUUAUUUCUCCAGAAGAAGGAGCCAGCCAAAAGGAGGGACCGAGGAGGGCCGCCAUGGGCCCCCUCAUAGGCCGGCGCGGGCUCCACCUUGGACGCGCCGCCUUGUGGGGAGGGGCCCACAACCCCCCUCGGCCGUCUCUCUUUCGCAUACUUCAUCUACCCGAAAACCUAAGGUGCUGGGAAUAAUCGCGAAUAGACACAUCCGCCUCUGCGGGGCGGAAAACACCAGAGAGAAAAGAGCUCUCCGGCAGGCUGAAAUCCGCCGGGGAAAUUCCCUCCCGGAGGGGGAAAUCGUCGCCAUCGUCACUGUCAUCGAGCUGGACUUCAUUGGGAUCAUCAUCACCAUCAUCUCCACCACCGUCACCAUCAUCUCCAUCGCUGCACCUCGUCACCGCUGUAACAUCUAGGGUUGAAUCUUGAUUAUUUCAUAGGGGAAACUCUCCCGGUGUUGAUUACUCCUUUAUAUAGAUGCUAUUGAGUGAAACCAUUGAACCAAGGUUUAUGUUCAGAUUUUUAUUCAUCAUCAUAUCACCUUUGAUCAUGUUCUAUAUGAUGUCUCGUGAGUAGUUCGUUUAGUUCUUGAGGACAUGGG